GACGAACGCUGGCGGCGUGCCUAAUACAUGCAAGUUGAGCGCUGAAGGUUGGUACUUGUACCAACUGGAUGAGCAGCGAACGGGUGAGUAACGCGUGGGGAAUCUGCCUUUGAGCGGGGGACAACAUUUGGAAACGAAUGCUAAUACCGCAUAAAAACUUUAAACACAAGUUUUAAGUUUGAAAGAUGCAAUUGCAUCACUCAAAGAUGAUCCCGCGUUGUAUUAGCUAGUUGGUGAGGUAAAGGCUCACCAAGGCGAUGAUACAUAGCCGACCUGAGAGGGUGAUCGGCCACAUUGGGACUGAGACACGGCCCAAACUCCUACGGGAGGCAGCAGUAGGGAAUCUUCGGCAAUGGACGAAAGUCUGACCGAGCAACGCCGCGGGAGUGAAGAAGGUUGUCGGAUCGUAAAACUCUGUUGGUAGAGAAGAACGUUGGUGAGAGUGGAAAGCUCAUCAAGUGACGGUAACUACCCGGAAAGGGACGGCUAACUACGUG
rnacentral:rRNA from 1 species